AGUUUUCAAAGGGACUUGCCAUCAGCAGUGUGAUCAAUCAGCUAAACUUUCUCACUUGAGUGGACAAUCACCAUUUAAUCAUCAUCAAGAAAUAUGUGGGUUACUUCAAUUAUCUGAUGAAGUAUUGGCUCACAACAUUUUAUCACGCUUGACACCAAGGGAUGUUGCAUCUAUCGGGUCUGUAUGCAGAAGGAUUCGCCAAUUGACAAAAAAUGAGCAUGUGAGGAAGAUGGUAUGCCAAAAUGCAUGGGGAAGAGAAGUCACUGGUGCACUGGAGCUGAUGAC
rnacentral:misc_RNA from 1 species